rnacentral:rRNA from 1 species
UACGAAGGGGGCUAGCGUUGCUCGGAAUCACUGGGCGUAAAGGGUGCGUAGGCGGGUCUUUUAAGUCAGGGGUGAAAUCCUGGAGCUCAACUCCAGAACUGCCUUUGAUACUGAAGAUCUUGAGUUCGGGAGAGGUGAGUGGAACUGCGAGUGUAGAGGUGAAAUUCGUAGAUAUUCGCAAGAACACCAGUGGCGAAGGCGGCUCACUGGCCCGAUACUGACGCUGAGGCACGAAAGCGUGGGAGGCAAACAGGG